rnacentral:rRNA from 2 species
CAUCAUGAUUUACAUUUGAGUGAGUGGCGAACUGGUGAGUAACACGUGGGAAACCUGCCCAGAAGCGGGGGAUAACACCUGGAAACAGAUGCUAAUACCGCAUAACAACUUGGACCGCAUGGUCCGAGUUUGAAAGAUGGCUUCGGCUAUCACUUUUGGAUGGUCCCGCGGCGUAUUAGCUAGAUGGUGGGGUAACGGCUCACCAUGGCAAUGAUACGUAGCCGACCUGAGAGGGUAAUCGGCCACAUUGGGACUGAGACACGGCCCAAACUCCUACGGGAGGCAGCAGUAGGGAAUCUUCCACAAUGGACGAAAGUCUGAUGGAGCAACGCCGCGUGAGUGAAGAAGGGUUUCGGCUCGUAAAACUCUGUUGUUAAAGAAGAACAUAUCUGAGAGUAACUGUUCAGGUAUUGACGGUAUUUAACCAGAAAGCCACGGCUAACUACGUGCCAGCAGCCGCGGUAAUACGUAUGUGGCAAGCGUUGUCCGGAUUUAUUGGGCGUAAAGCGAGCGCAGGCGGUUUUUUAAGUCUGAUGUGAAAGCCUUCGGCUCAACCGACGAAGUGCAUCAGAAACUGGGAAACUUGAGUGCAUAAGAGGACAGUGGAACUCCAUGUGUACCGGUGAAAUGCGUAG